UUAUCUCUCUCGCACGCAGUACGGGUGUUGUUUACAGUUUCUCCCUCACCUCCCGCCUCUCUUUCUCUCGUCCUUUUUUGUUUAACCCUGCGUUUUUCUUUAAAAAAAAAGGAAAACCCUAAGGAUCGAAACCUUUUUGUUUCCUUUUCGAUUAAACUCCCGUGCUUCGCUUCCAUUUUGCUUCGAAUUCCUUCUUCCUCUAUUCAAUUGUUCGGUUUUUCCAACAUUUUUCGCAAUUUUUGGGCAGAAUUUGAAUAUUUUUUGUCCUUCUUUUUUGUUUUUUGGUGAAACUCGAUUCGAAUCUGGUUUUGGAUCUUCUUAUAUACAAUGGAGUGAUCAAAUUGGCGUUGACUUAUCUGAAGACCAAAUUGGAGCGAAAUAUGGAGUAAGCUCCGGAGCUCAAAUUAUACUACUAAGCGGUAAUGGAUUCGGAUUUUGCGGAAGUUCUUGUGUGUAAUGGGAAUAAGCCCUCGGUAGAAUUCGGUUCGGAGGAGGUGGUGGAUAAGGAGGAGGAUGAGGAGGAGACGAACAUGCUUCUGCGGACGACGGUGAAUGGAGGGAUAGUGGAGGGUAAGGGGCCGAAGAGCUCGAGGAGGAAGGUGCAGUGGAAUGAUCUAAAUGGCAACAAGCUUGUGGAAGUGCUAGAGUUCCAACCAAGGAAAUUCGUACCUGUGCAAGUGCAAGAAAUCAUAUGCUUCAUAGCAGUGGCAAAAACUUUUUCUGGAUUUGGAAUGUCUUAGACAGCAGUGUAAGAUCUUAAUACAGAGUAAUUUUUUUCAACUUUUGCUUGCUAUCAGUGCUAAUUUUGUUUUUACGGGUCACUAGAGCCUUACGUCACCACAAAGGUAACAAGGGACUGGUGUAGGCACAUAAUGGAUCACUAGAGCCUUACAUCACCAACCACCAAAAGGAAAUGAAGUUAGAAAAUUGUUAAUAAAGAGCAUAUGUAAACUAGUACGUUGAUCAUUUGGGAGAAAACCUUUCUUGUAACUUUUGGAUCUAUGCAGCUUGGCCUCCUCUAAUGUUUUCUGUGACUUUCAGGUUUUUGUCUCUUCAACUGACUUACUACAUAAAUGGGAAUGAUGAUUUUGUAAUUUACUUAAGUGUUCAAAGCAAAUUAAACCUUUACCCUGAAAUUAGUUUUUCUAAAAGUAAUUGAUGAUGUUAGUUGUUCAUUGUCACAUCGUGUAAAGCUUGUCUUGUGUAGAAAGUCAUUGUGUCCUCAAGUGUGGUUGUGGUUUGGUUUGAAGUCAAUUUUUUUCAGCGACCAGAUGCUAACCAUUUGGUCCAUUUCCAAAUUGUUAGGUCUGAAAACUUCCAUAGCAUGUUUGGCAGUACAAAGCACCAAAAAUUUCACAUAAAAAAUGUUAUACUAAUCCAAUCCAUUAGCUCAGACAUUUUCGAACAACUUACUCAGAUUAACUCUACUAUGUUUAAAUUGCUUCCUUUGAGUCCACUAAUUUUACUUAGCUGUUAUUGGGCUGACGUGAUUUGACUGCAUUGUAAUAGUUAGUGGACUCGAUUCGAGCAGUUUGAACCUGGAGCAGGUAAUAAAGCAACCUAUAUGACCUUCCCUUUCUUGUAAGUAUUCUGAUUUUCUCAAACAUUAUCUUCUGAUAGAAAAGCUAUUAGUAGAACUGAGAGAAAAAGAAAAAAACCUUUAUCAAAUUAGUUAUUGUGAUGGUGUUGAAAUUCUGAUAACUCUAUCCAGAUUGCUAUACUAGGUAAAAGGAAAUCAAAGAACAGUCAUAUUUGAAGUUGCAAAUUCUCUGGUUGCUUCCUAAUACUAGCAAAGCAAGUGAAUAUUCUUUCUUUGGCUAUUAAAUUUUCUUAGUUACCUAAAGAAAUUAUCUUCAUGUUAGUCUUGAAUCCUCAACAGCUUUAUCUUAUUUGGUUUUGUGCAGCGAUUCAAGCGACUCAGAGGAAGAUUUCGGCGAUGGGUCCUCAAUUUGGGAGCAUGCAAUUUUUGGCUGGGCUCAACUUUGCUGUUGCCUGGGUGGCCGAAGGUCUCGCUCAUGAAAGCAGCAUGACAAUUAUCAGGAUCAUAUUUUUCAUUUAUAUCAUUGAAAAUUGGUGAAUUGGUGAAUCUGAAAUGGAGCAUCUUUUCAGAUUAAAAGGUGAUCAGGGCUCAACGUAUGGACAAAGAAUGCUAUGGACAUGAUUUCAGUGAUGGGCUGGAAUUAGAGAAACAACUAAUGAGGAAAUUAUUGUUACUGAUAAUGAGGAAAGCAGUAUCUUUUGUAUGCUUUUUCGAGGUGUAUAUCAUUAAUUUGUAAGCUUAGCUCUAAUGAUUGUUUUGCGGAUGAGCUUAGAUUUGCUAAAAAAUUGGGCGUUUUGUGAUUUUUGACUCGAUAUUGUUUUUAGGUUCAUGAUACAAUUUUAUAAAGAUCAGUUGAUAAUGAUGUAUUUUCUACUUA